rnacentral:lncRNA from 1 species
AUGAUUGCACCUCCAGCUGCCACGCCAACGACGGCUCUCAGAGCAGUACCAGCUGCUCACCCAGCUUGGCUCCGCUUGGCUCUGUCAUAUAUACCGGGGGAGCCUCCUUCCAUCUCCAGAAGCUAAGAACUCGGCUACGAAGCUCAAGCUUACGAGAGAGAAAGAAGAGAGAGAGAGAGUGAGAGCCAUCUCACAGUUCCGGUGUAGCACCCUCAUCGCCCACAGUUCAGCCAGGAGACGAGG